UACAGAGGGGGCAAGCGUUGUUCGGAAUUACUGGGCGUAAAGGGCGCGUAGGUGGCCGUUCUAAGUCGAACGUGAAAUCCCUGGGCUCAACCCAGGAACUGCGUCCGAUACUGGAAGGCUUGAAUCCGGGAGAGGGAUGCGGAAUUCCAGGUGUAGCGGUGAAAUGCGUAGAUAUCUGGAGGAAUACCGGUGGCGAAGGCGGCAUCCUGGACCGACAUUGACGCUGAUGAGCGAAAGCUAGGGGAGCAAACAGG
rnacentral:rRNA from 1 species